CCCUUCGUCCACGUCAAAAGGAAUUCCAAGUGAAUCAGCUCCCCUGUUCCAACAUCAUCCUUAUCCCGAGUCCCAACUUCAUCCCGUUCGCGGAAUGAUUCCAGUAUCCCACGACAGCAUUCAGCCGCGUCCACGUUUGACCCCGGAUCCCAUUUUUUCCGUGAUCAACUUCAUCUUCAUCCCAUGACCAAGGAACAGAGCCGUUUGCCCCAGCCAACCACAAAUCAAAUUCAUCUUCCACGUCAUUUUUUCUUCCCCUGCUUCAGCCAUAGAGGAACUCCCGGAUAAACUCAAAUCUCAGCCCCGUUCGUGAGAUCUUCCCCAACGUUAGGAUCAGAUUAAGCAACGAUUUCCCGUUCCCAGCAAAUCCCAGCCAUCCUGCCCCUAUCCACGGAUGAGCUCACAACCUUCCAUCGUCCAAACAAAGCCACGUCUUCUUCCGGAUUAAUCCCAACAUCCCAGCUGCCAGCCGCCCCCCUGCAUCCGCGAGUCAUCCUCAUCCCGUGAGCAUCCCAAACCCCCCAGGAUCUUCUCCACGUCCACGAUCAGAUCUCCCGACCCAUAUCCUCUCCGGAUUCUUCUCAUUUGCGAUGGCUUCUCUCCCAGUCGGAUGAACAUCUCAUUCAAACCCAGCCGAAUCCAGAUCCUCUCGUUUCGGAUCAUCUCCCAGCCUAUCAACGGAUGAGUCCACGCGUUCUUCCCAGCUCUGCUUCAACCGUUCCGAGCUUCACGUAAAUCACAACCAGCAGCAACCGUGGAUCGACCUCUUGUGAAUCAGCAUCUUCGGUUAUCCUUAUCUUCCCAUUCGGAAGACCAUAUCCAGAGGAAGAAACAGAGGAGGAGGGGGGAGGCAGCCUAUAAAAGGAGUCAAGAUUUAAAGGGGAGGGGGCAUUAUUCUCUUCCAUUCCUCCUUCCCCACCGGGGGGGGGGAUCCCUCUUCCCCCACCGGGGGCUGCUCCCAACUCCUCUUCGGCAAGCUCUUCUCUGGCGGAAUCCCACAGAAACAGAGGAGGGAGAAGAGUCUGGGCAUUUUGGGAAUGAUUUCCCAAAGAAAGAAAUCGAUCUCAGGGGAAUCACAAGAGGAAGAGAAGAAAGUUACGGGAGCCCGCUGCUGUGCUGCUGCUGCCGUCCAUAACUCCAUGGAAAGCUGAUUUCCUCUCUAGGGCUGGAUGCAGCCCUAACAAAGGGAUAAGGGUUUUAUAUUUUAAUUUUAUAUUCUUGGA
rnacentral:lncRNA from 1 species